UACGUAGGGGGCAAGCGUUUGUCCGGAAUCAUUGGGCGUAAAGCGCGUGUAGGCGGCUCGAUAAGUCCGCUCUGAAAGUCCAGGGCUCAACCCUGGGAUGCGGGUGGAUACUGUCGGGCUCGAGUCCGGAAGAGGCGAGUGGAAUUCCCGGUGUACGCGGUGAAAUGCGCAGAUAUCAGGAGGAACACCAUUGCGAAGGCAGCUCGCUGGGACGUUACUGACGCUGAGACGCGAAAAGCGUGGGGGAGCAAACAGG
rnacentral:rRNA from 1 species